rnacentral:rRNA from 1 species
GACGAACGCUGGCGGCGUGCUUAACACAUGCAAGUCGAACGAAGUGGCGAACGGGUGAGUAACGUGUAAUCAACCUGCCCUUCAGGGGGGAACAACAGUUGGAAACGACGGCUAAUCCGGCAUACGGAAGGAGGGGAUUGCGUGUGAUUAGCUAGUUGGAGGGGUAACGGCUCACCAAGGCGAUGAUCAGUAGCCGGUCUGAGAGGAUGAACGGCCACAUUGGGACUGAGACACGGCCCAGACUCCUACGGGAGGCAGCAGUGGGGAAUUUUCCGCAAUGGACGAAAGUCUGACGGAGCAACGCCGCGUGAGUGAUGACGGCCUUCGGGUUGUAAAGCUCUGUUAAUCGGGACGCGGUACCGCAAUAGAAAGCCACGGCUAAUUACGUGCCAGCGCCGCGGUAAUAC